AACGAACGCUGGCGGCAUGCCUAACACAUGCAAGUCGAACGAGACCUUCGGGUCUAGUGGCGCACGGGUGCGUAACGCGUGGGAAUCUACCCUUGGGUUCGGAAUAACAGUUAGAAAUGACUGCUAAUACCGGAUGAUGACGUAAGUCCAAAGAUUUAUCGCCCAAGGAUGAGCCCGCGUAAGAUUAGCUUGUUGGUGGGGUAAUGGCCUACCAAGGCGACGAUCUUUAGCUGGUCUGAGAGGAUGAUCAGCCACACUGGGACUGAGACACGGGCCAGACUCCUACGGGAGGCAGCAGUGGGGAAUAUUGGACAGUGGGCGAAAGCCUGAACCAGCAAUGCCGCGUGAGUGAUGAAGGCCUUAGGGUUGUAAAGCUCUUUUACCAGGGAUGAUAAUGACAGUACCUGGAGAAUAAGCGCCGGCUAACUCCGUGCCAGCCGCCGCGGUAA
rnacentral:rRNA from 1 species